rnacentral:rRNA from 1 species
CGGGCUCUGAGAGGAGGGGCCCGGAGAUGGGUACUGAGACACGGACCCAGGCCCUAUGGGGCGCAGCAGGCGAGAAACCUUUGCAAUGUGCGAAAGCACGACAAGGUNAAUCCGAGUGUCUCCUGCUAAAGGAGUCUUUUGUCAGUUGUAGAAUCACUGGUGAAUAAGGGGUGGGCAAGUUCUGGUGUCAGCCGCCGCGGUAAAACCAGCACCUCGAGUGGUCAGGAGGUUUAUUGGGCCUAAAGCAUCCGUAGCCGGUUGCAUAAGUUUUCGGUUAAAUCUAUGCGCUUAACGUAUAGGCCGCCGAAAAUACUGUGCAGCUAGGGAGUGGGAGAGGUACACGGUACUCGAUAGGAAGGGGUAAAAUCCUUUGAUCUAUUGAAGACCACCUGUGGCGAAGGCGGUGUACCAGAACACGUUCGACGGUGAGGGAUGAAAGCUGGGGGAGCAAACCGGAUUAGAUACCCGGGUAGUCCCAGCUGUAAACGAUGCAGACUCGGUGAUGCAUUGGCUUGUGGCCAAUGCAGUGCCGCAGGGAAGCCGUUAAGUCUGCCGCCUGGGAAGUACGUACGCAAGUAUGAACUUAAAGGAAUUGGCGGGGGAGCACCACAAGGGGUGAAGCUGCGGUUCAAUUGGAGUCACGCCG